rnacentral:rRNA from 1 species
CCUACGGGUGGCAGCAGUGGGGAAUAUUGCACAAUGGGGGAAACCCUGAUGCAGCGACGCCGCGUGAAGGAAGAAGUAUUUCGGUAUGUAAAGUUCUAUCAGCAGGGAAGAAAAUGACGGUACCUGACUAAGAAGCCCCGGCUAACUACGUGCCAGCAGCCGCGGUAAUACGUAGGGGGCAAGCGUUAUCCGGAUUUACUGGGUGUAAAGGGAGCGUAGGCGGUGGUGCAAGUCAGAAGUGAAAGCCCGCGGCUCAACUGCGGGACGGCUUUUGAAACUGUAUAACUGGAUUGCGGGAGAGGUAAGUGGAAUUCCUGGUGUAGCGGUGAAAUGCGUAGAGAUUAGGAGGAACACCAGUGGCGAAGGCGGCUUACUGGACUGUAAAUGACGUUGAGGCUCGAAAGCGUGGGGAGCAAACAGGAUUAGAUACCCGUGUAGUC